ensembl:lncRNA
CAUGUGCAUGAAGUGUGAUUUGCAAAAAUUCAAAACUCAUCUGAGUCACAACACACAUCGAUUAAAUCAGGGGUACUUCUUGACCAACUUCAAUUUGCCACAGCUAUUUUGUAACUAGAGCUGUUUAAAAAAAGUUAAAAUAUUUAAAAAAAAAUAUUAGAACAAUAGGGAAAAUGUAUUUCUUUGGCUAUCCUCCUACUCUAAUGGCUAAAUAAUUUUUUGAUCAUAAUUAUAAAAAAAUCAUUGUCAAUCAGAGAGGAAGACUAAAAAAUAUCAGCCUGAAAGGUGAAAGUUUCUGAAAGUUAUGAAACAACUGAAAACAGGAGGUUAGAAUGGAAACUCUCAACUAUAGUGGUCACUAGUCGUACAACCCCUAUAGCAUAGACACACAAAACACCCUCCAUUUUUUGUUCAUAUGUUAUAUGUACAGAAAUAUAUGUAAAACUUUUUGCUAAAGUAGCCACUAUUUCUGUGUGCUUCAGUUUUGGGUGUGCAACUUGAGACAGGCCGGGCCUAAUUUUUCAGAGGCUCCUAAAUGGAGCUGUGGGUUUUCAGCACUUCUGCAAAUCAGGUGUGUGGGGGGGUUCCCAAGUGGGGCACCCACAGCUAGUGGCCAUUUGAAAACGCUGCCCACCGUCUGUAGCACACCCCCAUGCCCAGUGUGGUACACCAGCAGUGUGACACUGUCUGUGGGGCCGGAUGUGUAGCCACAGUCUAUCUGUCGAGUAGCCAGUAAGGGGCGCUGGGACGCAGGUUUGCUUUGCAGAGGGAGCCGGCUGCGGAUCACCUGCAGCAGCGGGGGAGCCGAGCAGCUCCGCCCUCCCUCCCCCGUGAAUCACAUCGCUCCUCUUCCAGGCACGGGCACGGAGGAGAUUGGGCAGCGCCGUCAACCUGCUGCAGAGAGAGAGAGAGACCGGCACAGAGGAGCUGGGGCUGGGGCUGGGGCUGCUGGCUCCGGGGCGCUCCCACUUCCCCUAGUCCGGCGCGGGGCCGCGCGUGAGCAUCUCCCUCAGCUGCAGCCCCGCGGGGGGCGCCUGCCGCCGCCCCAGCCAGCCCGGGCACCGCCGCCGGGCAAGAGGGGGAGCCAUGGCCGAAGGGGGCGAGGGCGAGGACGAGAUACAGUUCCUGCGAACUAAUUACAGUUUGACAAUUGGAACCACAUCUAGAGCUUGGGAAGCGCACGUUGCCGUAGUAAGUUCUUAUUAAAAAGUUAUGGCUAGAUAUUAGCAACUGUAUUGUUUCAUAAUGAUUUAUUUUAUUGGGGAGGAGUGGGAGAAUGAACAGCUGUGAGGCUGAAAUGGAUUUAUAACAGCAUCAUACUCCUUGAAAUAGAAUCAUCUGCCACAGAAAACCAUCAAAUGCCUUUGGAAAUUUCUAGUUGGAUCUGUUUCUUACUGACUGAGAAGAGAUAAUUUAACAAAAAUGUAGAAGACAGGCAGGUUUAUGUAACAUCUUGUUUAAUACACUGUAGGGGAAUAUUUCAUUAGCAAAAGGCUAAGAAAAAAAUAUUGAUGAUACCAUGUGAUUGUUGGCCAUAGGCCUGUAACAAAUUCUGUUUUACAAAGUCAUAGUGCACAUUGGUUGCAAGUAAAACACUGGCUCUUCACCUCAUGGCUUAAAUUCUAUUAGCAGUCCUAACUGAAAUUAAUCGAUUGUAGUUUAAUAUCUAGUCAAACAAUCUACUCUGUAUCCACUAAGCAUUACAUAUGACCCAGAUUGAUGGACUCUGACUGUGAGAUAUUUAGGGUACAGCUUAAUUUACUUAUGAAUUGGAGGUGAUCCUUCAAAGGAGUUUAAAGCUGCCCUUGAUUAUAACACACACAUCCUCUUGCCAAUUAGAGCUGCAAACCAUCUAGGGCCCACUAUGGUCACUGAGGGUGCUAAGGUUCUGAUCCUGUUCCCACUUAAUUGCGGAACUCCCAUUGACUUUAACAGAGGCAUAACCAGGCCCUAAAAGUAUGAAGCACUGAAUGUUGUACUGCAGCUAUCUACAAUGAACUUAGCCUAAAUGCAUACAACAGGAGAGGCCCAUUUUCUGUACUAUUGGUGCAUUAACCUUUACAAAUAUUAAUAUUUACCCUGAGCAAGCAACUAAAAAGAUAGCCCUCAGCUUUGCACAGUUAGUUUCAAAGACCUAUACUGCACUGCUAAAGGUUUCUUUAAAAAAUCUUUAACUAAGUUAUUUCUUGGAUGCUUGAACUUGCCACACAGUACUUGGGUCUUAAUAGACUGCCGAUUUAAGAUUAUGUAGCACACCCCUUUGGAUAAUUGUUCUCUUUUUUGGGAAGGAAGGAGAAUUGCUGUGAUCCUAGGAAUCUCCCUGAAGAACUGCAUUGUCUCUAUUUGUAUGCUAAAAUACUGUUCUUCUAUAAGAACAUUUGUUUUAAUUGUAUACUUUUAAAAUAAGACAUUUUGCUCAGUCAGGACUUGAUCCUGAAAGGUGCUGAGCACUCCUGUGUGGUAUUAAAUGUCUUUGGUCAUGUCUACUCUAGCAAGCUUACCGUGGCACAGAAGAACUCUCCCGUCGACAUAAUUAAACCACCGUAACAAGCAGUGGUAGCUAUGUCGGGGGAAGAAGCUCUCCUGAUGACAUAGCGCCGUGCGCAAUACUGUUUAUGCCAGCAAAACUCAUGUCGCUCAGGGGUGUGUUUUCACACCCCUGAGGGACAUAAGUUUUGCCAACAUAAGUGGUAGUGUAGAAAUGGCUUUAUGAAGUCAGUGGGAGUUGAAGGCACUGGAGCUGUACUGCUGAUCCCUAGAAUGGUUGAUUAGAAUUCAGGGGUUCUCACAACAAAAUUUUUGGUGGCCUCAGAGUGCGGCCACCAACUCUCACUGGUGACUGCACUGACACUUUUGUUCUAAAAUACUUAGUUAAUUUUAUGAAAAGCAAAUAAAUAUGCACAUAUACACA